UGGUGCACAUAUAACUCUUUUAGGUGAGAAUU
rnacentral:piRNA from 1 species